CUGCAUGGCUGUCGUCAGCUCGUGUCGUGAGAUGUUGGGUUAAGUCCCGCAACGAGCGCAACCCUCGUCCUUAGUUGCCAUCAUUUGGUUGGGCACUCUAAGGAAACUGCCGGUGAUAAGCCGGAGGAAGGUGGGGAUGACGUCAAGUCCUCAUGGCCCUUACAGGCUGGGCUACACACGUGCUACAAUGGCGGUGACAGUGGGCAGCAAGCACGCGAGUGUGAGCUAAUCUCCAAAAGCCGUCUCAGUUCGGAUUGUUCUCUGCAACUCGAGAGCAUGAAGGCGGAAUCGCUAGUAAUCGCGGAUCAGCAUGCCGCGGUGAAUACGUUCCCAGGCCUUGUACACACCGCCCGUCACACCAUGGGAGUUGGUUUCACCCGAAGGCAGUGCGCUAACCGCAAGGAGGCAGCUGACCACGGUGGGAUCAGCGACUGGGGUGAAGUCGUAACAAGGUAGCCGUAGGGGAACCUGCGGCUGGAUCACCUCCUUU
rnacentral:rRNA from 1 species